rnacentral:rRNA from 1 species
GACGAACGCUGGCGGCGUGCCUAAUACAUGCAAGUAGAACGCUGAAGAGAGGAGCUUGCUCUUCUUGGAUGAGUUGCGAACGGGUGAGUAACGCGUAGGUAACCUGCCUUGUAGCGGGGGAUAACUAUUGGAAACGAUAGCUAAUACCGCAUAACAAUGGAUGACCCAUGUCAUUUAUUUGAAAGGGGCAAAUGCUCCACUACAAGAUGGACCUGCGUUGUAUUAGCUAGUAGGUGAGGUAACGGCUCACCUAGGCGACGAUACAUAGCCGACCUGAGAGGGUGAUCGGCCACACUGGGACUGAGACACGGCCCAGACUCCUACGGGAGGCAGCAGUAGGGAAUCUUCGGCAAUGGGGGCAACCCUGACCGAGCAACGCCGCGGGAGUGAAGAAGGUUUUCGGACCGUAAAGCUCUGUUGUAAGUCAAGAACGAGUGUGAGAGUGGAAAGUUCACACUGUGACGGUAGCUUACCAGAAAGGGACGGCUAACUACGUG